rfam:Ictidomys tridecemlineatus contig108799, whole genome shotgun sequence.
GUGGUUGUAGCUCAAUGGUAGAGCACUUGCCUAGCAUGUAAGAGGCACUGGGUUCUAUCCUCAGCACCACA